rnacentral:rRNA from 1 species
UACGAACUGUGCAAACGUUAUUCGGAAUCACUGGGCUUAAGGGGUGCGUAGGCGGCUUAUCAAGUAGGGGUGUGAAAAGCCCCCCGGCUUAACCGGGGAAUUGCGCCCUAAAACUGACGAGCUGGAGUGGGACAGGGGUGUGUGGAACUUCCGGUGGAGCGGUGAAAUGUGUUGAUAUCGGAAGGAACGCCGGUGGCGAAAGCGACACACUGGGUCUCAACUGACGCUGAGGCACGAAAGCCAGGGAGCGAACGGG